rnacentral:rRNA from 1 species
AGAGUUUGAUCAUGGCUCAGAACGAACGCUGGCGGCAGGCCUAACACAUGCAAGUCGAACGAAGUCUUCGGACUUAGUGGCGGACGGGUGAGUAACGCGUGGGAACCUAUCCUGUAGUGCGGAAUAACAGAGGGAAACUUCUGCUAAUACCGCAUACGCCCGACAGGGGAAAGAAUUUCGCUUCAGGAGGGGCCCGCGAAGGAUUAGCUUGUUGGUGGGGUAACGGCCUACCAAGGCAACGAUCCUUAGCUGGUCUGAGAGGAUGAUCAGCCACACUGGGACUGAGACACGGCCCAGACUCCUACGGGAGGCAGCAGUGGGGAAUAUUGGACAAUGGGGGCAACCCUGAUCCAGCCAUGCCGCGUGAAUGAAGAAGGCCCUAGGGUUGUAAAGUUCUUUCACUCGUGAGGAUGAUGACAGUAGCGAGAGAAGAAGCCCCGGCUAACUCCGUGCCAGCAGCCGCGGUAAUACGGAGGGGGCAAGCGUUGUUCGGAUUUACUGGGCGUAAAGGGCGCGUAGGCGGCUGAUCAAGUUGGGGGUGAAAGGCCCGGGCUCAACCCGGGAACUGCCUCCGAACUGAUCGGCUCGAGACCGGGAGAGGCAAGC